rnacentral:rRNA from 1 species
UAAGGAAUAUUGGUCAAUGCCCGGAAGGGUGAACCAGCCAUCCCGCGUGAAGGAUGAAGGGGCUCUGCCUUGUAAACUUCUUUUGAAUGGGACGAAAAAGCCUCACUUGUGAGGAACUGACGGUACCAUUAGAAUAAGCACCGGCUAACUCCGUGCCAGCAGCCGCGGUAAUACGGAGGGUGCGAGCGUUAUCCGGAAUCACUGGGUUUAAAGGGUGCGUAGGCGGCUGUAUAAGUCAGUGGUGAAAGGCUGUGGCUUAACCAUGGGAUUGCCAUUGAUACUGUACGGCUUGAAUUAGGAUGAGGUUGGCGGAAUGUGACAUGUAGCGGUGAAAUGCUUAGAUAUGUCAUGGAACAUCGAUUGCGAAGGCAGCUGACUGGACCUUAAUUGACGCUGAGGCACGAAAGCGUGGGGAGCGAACAGGAUUAGAUACCCUAGUAGUCCCUGAGCGGGCUGGCAAGGCGCAU